UCGAGCGGUAACAGAAAGUAGCUUGCUACUUUGCUGACGAGCGGCGGACGGGUGAGUAAUGCUUGGGAACAUGCCUUGAGGUGGGGGACAACAGUUGGAAACGACUGCUAAUACCGCAUAAUGUCUACGGACCAAAGGGGGCUUCGGCUCUCGCCUUUAGAUUGGCCCAAGUGGGAUUAGCUAGUUGGUGAGGUAAUGGCUCACCAAGGCGACGAUCCCUAGCUGGUUUGAGAGGAUGAUCAGCCACACUGGGACUGAGACACGGCCCAGACUCCUACGGGAGGCAGCAGUGGGGAAUAUUGCACAAUGGGCGCAAGCCUGAUGCAGCCAUGCCGCGUGUGUGAAGAAGGCCUUCGGGUUGUAAAGCACUUUCAGUCAGGAGGAAAGCUUGGUGGUUAAUACCCGUCAUGUGUGACGUUACUGACAGAAGAAGCACCGGCUAACUCCGUGCCAGCAGCCGCGGUAAUACGGAGGGUGCGAGCGUUAAUCGGAAUUACUGGGCGUAAAGCGUACGCAGGCGGUUUGUUAAGCGAGAUGUGAAAGCCCCGGGCUCAACCUGGGAACUGCAUUUCGAACUGGCAAACUAGAGUGUGAUAGAGGGUGGUAGAAUUUCAGGUGUAGCGGUGAA
rnacentral:rRNA from 1 species